GACGAACGCUGGCGGCGUGCCUAAUACAUGCAAGUAGAACGCUGAAGGAGGAGCUUGCUUCUCUGGAUGAGUUGCGAACGGGUGAGUAACGCGUAGGUAACCUGCCUGGUAGCGGGGGAUAACUAUUGGAAACGAUAGCUAAUACCGCAUAACAGUAGAUGUUGCAUGACAUUUGCUUAAAAGGUGCAAUUGCAUCACUACCAGAUGGACCUGCGUUGUAUUAGCUAGUUGGUAAGGUAACGGCUUACCAAGGCAACGAUGCAUAGCCGACCUGAGAGGGUGAUCGGCCACACUGGAACUGAGACACGGUCCAGACUCCUACGGGAGGCAGCAGUAGGGAAUCUUCCGCAAUGGGCGAAAGCCUGACGGAGCAACGCCGCGUGAGUGAUGAAGGUCUUCGGAUCGUAAAACUCUGUUAUUAGGGAAGAACAUAUGUGUAAGUAACUGUGCACAUCUUGACGGUACCUAAUCAGAAAGCCACGGCUAACUACGUGCCAGCAGCCGCGGUAAUACGUAGGUGGCAAGCGUUAUCCGGAAUUAUUGGGCGUAAAGCGCGCGUAGGCGGUUUUUUAAGUCUGAUGUGAAAGCCCACGGCUCAACCGUGGAGGGUCAUUGGAAACUGGAAAACUUGAGUGCAGAAGAGGAAAGUGGAAUUCCAUGUGUAGCGGUGAAAUGCGCAGAGAUAUGGAGGAACACCAGUGGCGAAGGCGACUUUCUGGUCUGUAACUGACGCUGAUGUGCGAAAGCGUGGGGAUCAAACAGGAUUAGAUACCCUGGUAGUCCACGCCGUAAACGAUGAGUGCUAAGUGUUAGGGGGUUUCCGCCCCUUAGUGCUGCAGCUAACGCAUUAAGCACUCCGCCUGGGGAGUACGACCGCAAGGUUGAAACUCAAAGGAAUUGACGGGGACCCGCACAAGCGGUGGAGCAUGUGGUUUAAUUCGAAGCAACGCGAAGAACCUUACCAAAUCUUGACAUCCUUUGACAACUCUAGAGAUAGAGCCUUCCCCUUCGGGGGACAAAGUGACAGGUGGUGCAUGGUUGUCGUCAGCUCGUGUCGUGAGAUGUUGGGUUAAGUCCCGCAACGAGCGCAACCCUUAAGCUUAGUUGCCAUCAUUAAGUUGGGCACUCUAAGUUGACUGCCGGUGACAAACCGGAGGAAGGUGGGGAUGACGUCAAAUCAUCAUGCCCCUUAUGAUUUGGGCUACACACGUGCUACAAUGGACAAUACAAAGGGCAGCGAAACCGCGAGGUCAAGCAAAUCCCAUAAAGUUGUUCUCAGUUCGGAUUGUAGUCUGCAACUCGACUACAUGAAGCUGGAAUCGCUAGUAAUCGUAGAUCAGCAUGCUACGGUGAAUACGUUCCCGGGUCU
rnacentral:rRNA from 1 species